rnacentral:piRNA from 1 species
UUGAAAAAGUUCCAAAUUGGA